rnacentral:tRNA from 1 species
GAUUAGCCAAGCGGUAAGGCAACGGACUUUGACUCCGUCAUGCGUAGGUUCGAAUCCUACAU